rnacentral:rRNA from 1 species
CGGACGGGUGAGUAACGCGUGGGCAACCUGCCUUACACAGGGGGACAACAGCUGGAAACGGCUGCUAAUACCGCAUAUGCGCACAGGGCCGCAUGGUCUGGUGCGGAAAACACCGGUGGUGUAAGAUGGGCCCGCGUCUGAUUAGGUAGUUGGCGGGGUAACGGCCCACCAAGCCGACGAUCAGUAGCCGGCCUGAGAGGGUGGACGGCCACAUUGGGACUGAGACACGGCCCAAACUCCUACGGGAGGCAGCAG